CAAUAUAAGAAAAUAAGGUGCUCUGGAAAAUACCCAUUUGCCCCUUUGCUUUUUUAUGCCUCCACGUGGAUAGCUUCUUUUCAUUUCUUUGCUGCUUACUAAUGCUACUCUCUUUAAAACGUAUCCGUGUCAAAUCAUUUUGCUACCUAAAAUAUGAAAAAUCUCUCUUUCUCUGAUUUCUUCGUCUUCCACCUUCCUCCCUCCUCCUCCCUCUAACACAUGUUCGCCUUCCACCUUCCUCCCUCCGUCUCCCUCUAAUAUAUUUUCUGCUUUCUUCCUCUUCAUUUCCCCUUUUCUUCAUCAUCUUCUUCAUUUCCCAAAACAAAAUCGACACGGUUAUCAGGUUUUUUUGGGUUUCUGUUUAAAGAUACUGUUUAGAUAUUGUGGUUAGUGUUUUUGUGGUUUAUAUGAUGAUUUUGUGGUUUAUAUGAUGAUGUUGUGGUUAGGGUUUUUGUGAUUGUGGUUGAUAUCAUGAUUUUGUGGUUAGGGUUUUGAUGCUACAAUUGACCAAAUGGAGGUAUGUUGUUCUUUUCAUCUUUGUAACAAAAAUAUGAAUAAUGUUUUCACCAGUUGCUUUUAACAUUCAGAUCUAUGGUGGCAACAACAGGUUACCGGCGAUUAGUGUGGUGGUGGUGGUAGAAACGGGUUUCCGCCGACGAGUGUGGUGGUGGUGCUUGAGGUUUAAAAUGAACAAAUCAGAGACCUAUUGACUACAGGACCAGCAUAAAAAAAGGAAGAAAACUGGAGGUGCCAUGGAAGGACAUAUAAGAAUUGGAGGUAUCAUAAUGAUGUUUUGUUGUGGUCGUAACGACUUCUCAUCUGGAAGUUAAACCGACAAUUUCUGUAACAAUUGUGCGGAGUUCUGUUAGUGAAUAUGCGGUUCAGUUUGCGGUGUGGUAAGGAUUUUAUGUGGCUUGACUUGAUGCUGUUUUGAAGUGCAAAUUUGGAUUGGUAUUUAUGGUAAGAUGCUGUAGAUUUUGGUGGGUUUGAAACUGUUAGUUGCGAGGUUUUAUAGUUUGUUAUGAAACUCUUAUAGGUGGUUAGUGAAAUAGUUAGAACACUCAGCAACAAUAAGAGGUCUAAUCAAUUUACUUACUCUUGAAGUUUCCUGCAACCAAUAAAACAAGAAAGAGGACACUCAGCAACAUAAAGAGGGCUGCAGAAGACGUAAACGCGUGUGUGAAAAUUUUGAAGGUUCCUGCUAUAGUUCAUAUUUUCGUUUGGAGAUGCAUCAACCAUGGCUAAUAUAUGGUAACCAAAAUUAGGGCUCUUUGAGUAAUACACCAAUUCAAAUGUAAGAUAGAGACCCCUGAUUCAGAAAUUUGCUCCGCUUUAAGUAGAGUCGUGGCGGUAUUUGAAGAGGCAGCCCAAGAAGCCGGAACAUCAAAGAUAAAGGAAAUCCAAUAAAGCAGCAGUGAUCCGGAAGUUAUGGUGGAUUCGUCUAAAGAAGAAGUAGAUGCGACUCUAUUAAUCAUACAAAGAUGGGACACCGGAGAGACGAAGACUUCUCAUUUGCAGUUGUCUUAGAAUGUCAUUAUAUAACUUCCGGUACUCAAACAUUUACGUGAAGAAUAUCGAGGACACUGUAAGUGAUGAAGGACUGCAAGACCAUUUUUGUGCAUGCAUCAUUUUCUACUAAAGUUAUGCGAGAUUACGAAUAGAUUAGCAAAGGAUAUGGCUUUGUAUGCUUUUCCACUCUCAAGGAAGCAAAUAAAGAUGUGAACACGUUUCAUGGUGCGGUUGGAAGAAAUCAUGAAGUUGACAGUAAUUUGUGCGGCCUGUAAUAUGUUGCACUUAUGAAGAGCAAUAGCCUUUUGGUUCUCUGCAUGUUGUCAUUUACAUCUUGAAUACAUACUUCUUUCUUAUGCCUGUAUUUAGAAAGGUAUUAUAUAAUAUGGACUAAUGUACAAAGCUAUUUAUCAUGUCUCUUUGUUCUAUCUAGACUGAUUGCUGAAUAAAAUUUGGCUUAUAUAUGAUAUGUUGAUGAAU